rnacentral:rRNA from 1 species
CUUUAAGUCUCAUGGUGAAAGGCUGGGGCUCAACCCCGGAGCUGCUCUUGAUACUGCCUGUCUAGGGACCGGUAGGGGCCGGUGGAAUUCCCGGUGUAGCGGUGGAAUGCGUAGAGAUCGGGAAGAACACCCGUGGCGAAGGCGGCCGGCUGGGCCGGAUCCGACGCUGAGGCGCGAAAGCGUGGGGAGCAAACAG